UACAGAGGUCUCAAGCGUUGUUCGGAUUCAUUGGGCGUAAAGGGUGCGUAGGUGGCGCUGUAAGUCAGGUGUGAAAUUUCGGAGCUUAACUCCGAAACUGCAUUUGAUACUGCGGUGCUUGAGGACUGGAGAGGAGACUGGAAUUUACGAUGUAGCAGUGAAAUGCGUAGAGAUCGUAAGGAAGACCAGUGGCGAAGGCGGGUCUCUGGACAGUUCCUGACACUGAGGCACGAAGGCCAGGGGAGCAAACGGG
rnacentral:rRNA from 1 species